rnacentral:rRNA from 1 species
GACAUAGGUUGCGAACGUUAUCCGGAAUUAUUGGGCGUAGAGGAUGCGUAGAUGGUUUGAUAAGUUAUCAGUGGCAAAUCGGGGCUCAACCUCGUGGAAGCUGGUAAUACUGUCAUACUCGAGUGCAGGAGAAGUUAACGGAACUCUAUGUGGAGCGGUAAAAUGUGACGAUAUAUAGAAGAACAUCAAUAAGGCGAAGGCAGUUAACUAUUCUGUUACUGACAUUGAGGCAUGAAAGCGUGGGGAGCAAAACGG